UACAGAGGGUGCAAGCGUUAAUCGGAAUUACUGGGCGUAAAGCGCGCGUAGGUGGUUCGUUAAGUUGGAUGUGAAAUCCCCGGGCUCAACCUGGGAACUGCAUUCAAAACUGACGAGCUAGAGUAUGGUAGAGGGUGGUGGAAUUUCCUGUGUAGCGGUGAAAUGCGUAGAUAUAGGAAGGAACACCAGUGGCGAAGGCGACCACCUGGACUGAUACUGACACUGAGGUGCGAAAAGCGUGGGGGAGCAAAACAGGAUUAGAUACCCGCGUAGUCC
rnacentral:rRNA from 1 species